UAGUCCACGCUGUAAACGAUGUCUACUUGGAGGUUGUUGUCUUGAAUGAUGGCUUUCGGAGCUAACGCGUUAAGUAGACCGCCUGGGGAGUACGGCCGCAAGGUUAAAACUCAAAUGAAUUGACGGGGGCCCGCACAAGCGGUGGAGCAUGUGGUUUAAUUCGAUGCAACGCGAAGAACCUUACCUACUCUUGACAUCUAGAGAAGCCAGCGGAGACGCAGGUGUGCCUUCGGGAACUCUAAGACAGGUGCUGCAUGGCUGUCGUCAGCUCGUGUUGUGAAAUGUUGGGUUAAGUCCCGCAACGAGCGCAACCCUUAUCCUUGUUUGCCAGCACGUAAUGGUGGGAACUCCAGGGAGACUGCCGGUGAUAAACCGGAGGAAGGUGGGGACGACGUCAUGUCAUCAUGGCCCUUAUGUCUGGGGCUACACACGUAAUACAAUGGAUGAGACAAUGGGCGAAACCGCGAGGUCAAGAUAAUCCCAAAACUCAUUCUCAGUUCGGAUUGG
rnacentral:rRNA from 1 species